UGGAAGGUGGUGUGUGUGUGGGUGGAGAUGGAGAGGGUGGGUGUGGAGGGAGGGAGGCAGUAGCUAGGUGAAGAAGUACGUCUUACUCACACUGCUCUUUGUACCUCUCAGGUUCCUGUCUGUCUGCAUUCAGGGGAUGUUUCAACCAUAGUGCUGCUCAGGGAGGGGAGCAGGACAGAAGUUACUGCAAGACCCAGGAAGAGACAUCAAACCCAGACAGGAAGAGGAGAAAUGGCACAGGAAGUCAGUGGAGUGAGUGAAACACAGGGCAGUCUGGUCCCAGGACACAGCAGGAAGCGGUCACAGCGCAACGCCACAGAGUGCACAACUUCACAGUGAUGUUUAUGGAAGGUUAAAUGUUAGCUGUGGUGCCCCACAGGUAAUAAAAAGCUGCUUUACUAGACAUUGAGCUGGAACUGAAGAGGCUACAAGAUGGCUGGUCCCUGUUGAAGACAAAGACAUUGGUCUCAAUUCAAUGAAACUCAGAAAACAGUUUUCCGGGAUAAGCAAAAAAACACAAUUAUUUUUACACCACAAGAAGGAAUGUUUGGAUCUAUCCACUCAAUAAAAUCGUUUUUUUUCUGUGGGAAACAAACAUACAUGUAAGGAGGCAUGUAUGAAAAUGUAUUUACACAUAGUUAGUUACUGUGUGUUCUUGUUUUGUAGGAAGAAUGUUGUUCUUAAUUGAUUUUGAUUUUCAACAUUUUAUUUUAUUUAAUUCCACAAAUCUGUUACAGAUUUUGAUUGAAUUGGGCCCAGUUCUUCUCAACUGUUUAGUUCAA
rnacentral:lncRNA from 8 species